rnacentral:rRNA from 1 species
CACGUAGGCACCAAGCGUUGUCCGGAUUUAUUGGGCGUAAAGAGCUCGUAGGCGGUUCAGUAAGUCAGGUGUGAAAUCUUUGGGCUUAACCCAAAGCGUGCACUUGAUACUGCUGUGACUUGAGUUCGGGUAGGGGAGUGGGGAAUUCCUAGUGUAGCGGUGAAAUGCGCAGAUAUUAGGAGGAACACCGGUGGCGAAGGCGCCACUCUGGGCCGAAACUGACGCUGAGGAGCGAAAGCGUGGGUAGCAAACAGG